GCUGCUGCUGCUGCUGUUGCUGCUGCUGCUGCUGCUGCUGCUGUUGCUGCUGCUGCAGCAGCAGCAGGUCGAGGGAAAAGAUGCUGCAGCUGCUGCCGUGGCGCAGCAGCAGCCGCUGCAGCAGCGGCGGCGGCAGCGUAUCAGCAAGGUUCU
rfam:Eimeria mitis, Houghton, WGS project CBTT01000000 data, contig: Emh_contig5901_1